UACGAAGGGGGCUAGCGUUGCUCGGAAUCACUGGGCGUAAAGGGUGCGUAGGCGGGUCUUUAAGUCAGGGGUGAAAUCCUGGAGCUCAACUCCAGAACUGCCUUUGAUACUGAGGAUCUUGAGUUCGGGAGAGGUGGGUGGAACUGCGAGUGUAGAGGUGAAAUUCGUAGAUAUUCGCAAGAACACCAGUGGCGAAGGCGGCUCACUGGCCCGAUACUGACGCUGAGACACGAAAGCGUGGGUAGCAAACAGG
rnacentral:rRNA from 1 species